UUUUAAUGAUGAAUAAACUCAAUCACCAUCUUUCGACUGAUCAUUCGUGACUGUGAAUAUAGUUUUUAACUGAUGCAUUGU